rnacentral:rRNA from 1 species
UACGUAGGGGGCUAGCGUUGUCCGGAAUCAUUGGGCGUAAAGCGCGUGUAGGCGGUCCGGUAAGUCCGCUGUGAAAGUCGGGGGCUCAACCCUUGAAUGCCGGCCGAUACUGUCAGGCUAGAGUCCGGAAGAGGCGAGUGGAAUUCCUGGUGUAGCGGUGAAAUGCGCAGAUAUCAGGAGGAACACCGAUGGCGAAGGCAGCUCGCUGGGACGGUACUGACGCUGAGACGCGAAAGCGUGGGGAGCGAACAGG